rnacentral:misc_RNA from 1 species
CAGGGUCUGACGACUGCCCAAACCAAACCGUGAACUACUCCACACUUUUUUGCUUCGGCGGGCCGCUCGCUGGGGGAGCCUCGGGCCGCCGCCGUAAUGCGGUGGUGGUCCGCCGAAGCAAGCCAACAAAACCAUUUUGAAUACUAUUUCUGAGAAACAACUUUCUGAAAAGAAAAAAACAAUCA